rnacentral:rRNA from 1 species
AUGCAGUCGAGCGCGGGAAGCAGGCAGAUCCUCUUCGGAGGUGACGCCUGUGGAACGAGCGGCGGACGGGUGAGUAACACGUGGGCAACCUGCCUGUAAGACUGGGAUAACCCCGGGAAACCGGGGCUAAUACCGGAUAAUACUUUUCGUUGCAUAACGAGAAGUUGAAAGGCGGCUUUUAGCUGUCACUUACAGAUGGGCCCGCGGCGCAUUAGCUAGUUGGUAAGGUAACGGCUUACCAAGGCGACGAUGCGUAGCCGACCUGAGAGGGUGAUCGGCCACACUGGGACUGAGACACGGCCCAGACUCCUACGGGAGGCAGCAGUAGGGAAUCUUCCGCAAUGGACGAAAGUCUGACGGAGCAACGCCGCGUGAGUGAUGAAGGUUUUCGGAUCGUAAAACUCUGUUGUCAGGGAAGAACAAGUGCCGUUCAAAUAGGGCGGCACCUUGACGGUACCUGACCAGAAAGCCCCGGCUAACUACGUGCCAGCAGCCGCGGUAAUACGUAGGGGGCAAGCGUUGUCCGGAAUUAUUGGGCGUAAAGCGCGCGCAGGCGGUCCUUUAAGUCUGAUGUGAAAGCCCACGGCUUAACCGUGGAGGGCCAUUGGAAACUGGAGGACUUGAGUACAGAAGAGGAGAGUGGAAUUCCACGUGUAGCGGUGAAAUGCGUAGAGAUGUGGAGGAACACCAGUGGCGAAGGCGACUCUCUGGUCUGUAACUGACGCUGAGGUGCGAAAGCGUGGGGAGCGAACAGGAUUAGAUACCCUGGUAGUCCACGCCGUAAACGAUGAGUGCUAGGUGUUAGGGGGUUUCCGCCCCUUAGUGCUGAAGUUAACGCAUUAAGCACUCCGCCUGGGGA